rnacentral:rRNA from 1 species
GUAGCUGGUCUGAGAGGAUGGCCAGCCACACUGGAACUGAGACACGGUCCAGACUCCUACGGGAGGCAGCAGUGGGGAAUAUUGGACAAUGGGGGGAACCCUGAUCCAGCAAUGCCGCGUGUGUGAAGAAGGCCUGAGGGUUGUAAAGCACUUUCAGUGGGGAGGAGGGUUGAUAGGUUAAGAGCUAGUUAACUGGACGUUACCCACAGAAGAAGCACCGGCUAACUCCGUGCCAGCAGCCGCGGUAAUACGGAGGGUGCGAGCGUUAAUCGGAAUUACUGGGCGUAAAGGGUGCGUAGGUGGUUUGAUAAGUUAUCUGUAAAAGCCCAGGGCUCAACCUUGGAAGGCCAGAUAAUACUGUUGAACUGGAGUAUGG